rnacentral:rRNA from 1 species
AUAUGGACCUCAACAUUUAGACUGCCCUUUCCUUUCUUGUCUGAUCUUGGAAGCUAAGCAGACCUGGCCUAGUUAGUACCUGGAUAGGAGGCUGCUUAGCAAUACAGUUGUUACAGGUU